GAGACACUCUUAUGGGGCAGGACUUGCUUCAGUGGGGCUUUGGUGCUCACUGAGUCUGCCCGCUGAGUGUGUCUUU
rnacentral:pre_miRNA from 1 species